rnacentral:misc_RNA from 1 species
AACUGAUACUACCUGCGGGAACCUGCGGAGGGAUCAUUACCGAGUUAUCCAACUCCCAACCCCUGUGAAUCAUACCUUUAAUUGUUGCUUCGGCGGGACUUCGCGCCCGCCGGGGACCCAAACCUUCUGAAUUUUUUAAUAAGUAUCUUCUGAGUGGUUAAAAAAAUGAAUCAAAACUUUCAACAACGGAUCUCU